GCAUAUCAAUAAGCGGAGGAAAAGAAACCAACAGGGAUUGCCCUAGUAACGGCGAGUGAAGCGGCAACAGCUCAAAUUUGAAAUCUGGCUUUCGGGCCCGAGUUGUAAUUUGUAGAGGAUGAUUUUGAUGCGGUGCCUUCCGAGUUCCCUGGAACGGGACGCCAUAGAGGGUGAGAGCCCCGUCUGGUUGGAUGCCAAAUCUCUGUAAAUCUCCUUCGACGAGUCGAGUAGUUUGGGAAUGCUGCUCUAAAUGGGAGGUAUAUGUCUUCUAAAGCUAAAUACCGGCCAGAGACCGAUAGCGCACAAGUAGAGUGAUCGAAAGAUGAAAAGCACUUUGAAAAGAGAGUUAAAAAGUACGUGAAAUUGUUGAAAGGGAAGCGUUUAUGACCAGACUUGGGCUUGGUUAAUCAUCUGGGGUUCUCUCCAGUGCACUUUUCCAGUCCAGGCCAGCAUCAGUUUUCGCCGGGGGAUAAAGGCUUCGGGAAUGUGGCUCCCCUCGGGGAGUGUUAUAGCCCGUUGUGUAAUACCCUGGUGGGGACUGAGGUUCGCGCUUCUGCAAGGAUGCUGGCGUAAUGGUCAUCAACGACCCGUCUUGAAACACGGACCAAGGAGUCGUCUUCGUAUGCGAGUGUUCGGGUGUCAAACCCCUACGCGUAAUGAAAGUGAACGCAGGUGAGAGCUUCGGCGCAUCAUCGACCGAUCCUGAUGUUCUCGGAUGGAUUUGAGUAAGAGCAUACGGGGCCGGACCCGAAAGAAGGUGAACUAUGCCUGUGUAGGGUGAAGCCAGAGGAAACUCUGGUGGAGGCUCGCAGCGGUUCUGACGUGCAAAUCGAUCGUCAAACAUGGGCAUGGGGGCGAAAGACUAAUCGAACCUUCUAGUAGCUGGUUUCCGCCGAAGUU
rnacentral:rRNA from 1 species